rnacentral:rRNA from 1 species
CAGCAGCCGCGGUAAUACGUAGGUGGCAAGCGUUAUCCGGAAUUAUUGGGCGUAAAGCGCGCGUAGGCGGUUUUUUAAGUCUGAUGUGAAAGCCCACGGCUCAACCGUGGAGGGUCAUUGGAAACUGGAAAACUUGAGUGCAGAAGAGGAAAGUGGAAUUCCAUGUGUAGCGGUGAAAUGCGCAGAGAUAUGGAGGAACACCAGUGGCGAAGGCGACUUUCUGGUCUGUAACUGACGCUGAUGUGCGAAAGCGUGGGGAUCAAACAGGAUUAGAUACCCCUGUAGUCCCUGUCUCUUAUAA